AGCGAACGCUGGCGGCAGGCUUAACACAUGCAAGUCGAGCGGGCAUCUUCGGAUGUCAGCGGCAGACGGGUGAGUAACACGUGGGAACGUACCCUUCGGUUCGGAACAACUCUGGGAAACUGGAGCUAAUACCGGAUACGCCCUUAUGGGGAAAGGUUUACUGCCGAAGGAUCGGCCCGCGUCUGAUUAGCUAGUUGGUGGGUAACGGCCUACCAAGGCGACGAUCAGUAGCUGGUCUGAGAGGAUGAUCAGCCACACUGGGACUGAGGCACGGCCCAGACUCCUACGGGAGGCAGCAGUGGGGAAUAUUGGACAAUGGGCGCAAGCCUGAUCCAGCCCUGCCGCGUGAGUGAUGAAGGCCUUAGGGUUGUAAAGCUCUUUUGUCCGGGACGAUAAUGACGGUACCGGAAGAAUAAGCCCCGGCUAACUUCGUG
rnacentral:rRNA from 1 species